rnacentral:rRNA from 1 species
GACAAACGCUGGCGGCGUGCCUAACACAUGCAAGUCGAACGGAGACAAAGUUUACUUUGUUUAGUGGCGGACGGGUGAGUAACGCGUGAGCAACCUGCCUUUCAGUGGGGACAACAGUUGGAAACGACUGCUAAUACCGCAUGAUGUAUUUUGUGGACAUCCACGAGAUACCAAAGAUUUAUCGCUGAAAGAUGGGCUCGCGUCUGAUUAGCUAGUUGGUGAGGUAAUGGCUCACCAAGGCGACGAUCAGUAGCCGGACUGAGAGGUCGAUCGGCCACAUUGGGACUGAGAUACGGCCCAGACUCCUACGGGAGGCUG